AGAGUUUGAUCCUGGCUCAGGAUGAACGCCGGCGGUGUGCCUAAUACAUGCAAGUCGUACGCACUGGCCCAACUGAUUGAUGGUGCUUGCACCUGAUUGACGAUGGAUCACCAGUGAGUGGCGGACGGGUGAGUAACACGUAGGUAACCUGCCUCGGAGCGGGGGAUAACAUUUGGAAACAGAUGCUAAUACCGCAUAACAACAAAAGCCACAUGGCCUUUGUUUGAAAGAUGGCUUUGGCUAUCACUCUGGGAUGGACCUGCGGUGCGUUAGCUAGUUGGUAAGGUAACGGCUUACCAAGGCAAUGAUGCAUAGCCGAGUUGAGAGACUGAUCGGCCACAAUGGAACUGAGACACGGUCCAUACUCCUACGGGAGGCAGCAGUAGGGAAUCUUCCACAAUGGGCGCAAGCCUGAUGGAGCAACACCGCGUGAGUGAAGAAGGGUUUCGGCUCGUAAAGCUCUGUUGUUGGAGAAGAACGUGCGUGAGAGUAACUGUUCACGCAGUGACGGUAUCCAACCAGAAAGUCACGGCUAACUACGUGCCAGCAGCCGCGGUAAUACGUAGGUGGCAAGCGUUAUCCGGAUUUAUUGGGCGUAAAGCGAGCGCAGGCGGUUGCUUAGGUCUGAUGUGAAAGCCUUCGGCUUAACCGAAGAAGUGCAUCGGAAACCGGGCGACUUGAGUGCAGAAGAGGACAGUGGAACUCCAUGUGUAGCGGUGGAAUGCGUAGAUAUAUGGAAGAACACCAGUGGCGAAGGCGGCUGUCUGGUCUGCAACUGACGCUGAGGCUCGAAAGCAUGGGUAGCGAACAGGAUUAGAUACCCUGGUAGUCCAUGCCGUAAACGAUGAGUGCUAGGUGUUGGAGGGUUUCCGCCCUUCAGUGCCGGAGCUAACGCAUUAAGCACUCCGCCUGGGGAGUACGACCGCAAGGUUGAAACUCAAAGGAAUUGACGGGGGCCCGCACAAGCGGUGGAGCAUGUGGUUUAAUUCGAAGCUACGCGAAGAACCUUACCAGGUCUUGACAUCUUGCGCUAACCUUAGAGAUAAGGCGUUACCUUCGGGGACGCAAUGACAGGUGGUGCAUGGUCGUCGUCAGCUCGUGUCGUGAGAUGUUGGGUUAAGUCCCGCAACGAGCGCAACCCUUGUUACUAGUUGCCAGCAUUAAGUUGGGCACUCUAGUGAGACUGCCGGUGACAAACCGGAGGAAGGUGGGGACGACGUCAGAUCAUCAUGCCCCUUAUGACCUGGGCUACACACGUGCUACAAUGGACGGUACAACGAGUCGCAAGCUCGCGAGAGUAAGCUAAUCUCUUAAAGCCGUUCUCAGUUCGGACUGUAGGCUGCAACUCGCCUACACGAAGUCGGAAUCGCUAGUAAUCGCGGAUCAGCAUGCCGCGGUGAAUACGUUCCCGGGCCUUGCACACACCGCCCGUCA
rnacentral:rRNA from 1 species